UAUCAGGUGUUCGGCCUGAUCCGCAAGGGACUCAACCCGUUCAAAAUGCCACUGGGAUUUGUCCAAACUUGAACCAGUUUGAGAGGAUGGAAAAUCAGAGAAAAAAACAGAGAUUUCAUCAAGAGCUCUUCAGCAGAUUACGGCAAGCAAGUGUCAGUCGGCAUUAUUACGUUAACCAAAGUGAAAUCAACCAGCAACAAGCCAUGCCAACUCAGGUGAAGAAUCAUCCCAAAGGUCGGGGGAAGAAGAAAGCCAAAGAAAGUGAGUGCUGAAAUCACCUGUGGAGAGCUUUCGUGAAGAAAUAAUACUGUGUGCUCAACCGCUCUCCCAUUUCUCUGUUGUUUCAUUGUCAGAAGCUGAAUGCAAAAACCCAAUUUACAACAGGAGUACAGACCAGCUCAACCAUCUAUAGAGAGAGUAAAGGCGAUUUUCAACAGCUGUUGAGAUAUUUUUGGUAUCAACAUCCUUUUGAAUGACGGUUUUGAAAUUGCUUUUUUUCCACUUACAUAUAUCUGAUAGAUAUCUUAUUAUAUUUGUUUGCUGUAUCAUUGCACUGCAUUUCCUGUACAUGUAAUAGACAAUGAGUAAUUGCUGUUUGGUUAUGACUAUCAAAUAAAGAUCUUCACAGACAAAUCGAGACAUAGUCUAUACAUGUUUUAAAUGAGACAAACCUGUGCAUGUACGAUGUGUUGAAUGCAUCUGAGAAGCAAAACAGUACAUUUUUGGCCAUAGAAAUUGCUUUAAACUUUUGGUUUGACUUGACUUACUUGAUUUUGCAGACAAAAUGAAAGCCUUUUGUUGUAUUCACAAACCAAACUACAUUCACAGCUACAGACAAUUUAGAAUCUCAGUUUCACCUGCAUGUCUUUUAAUUGUGGAAGGAUACAGGGAGAAAGGCCCCAGAAACUGAUUUAAACACAGUACCCUCAUGCUGUGAGGCAACAGAGAGUUGCUUUUACUCUGAGAGUUGUGCCAAUUAAGUGAAAUAAGAAGCAGCUGCUCCACCUGUCAGAGUACUCAGUAUCCAAAAAUGGGGAUCACAGUAAAGACUGCAUUUUGGUAACAUUUGUUUUGUUAGUACUGCUGCUUUUGAAAGGUGAAGCCCAUGCUGCUUCAAAACUAUUUAAAGCAGCAGUUGCUAACACUAUGAAUAAUGAUACAUUUAUUUGCCAUGGUGGGUUCAUCUCUGUUUACAUAUCAAAGGUGCAAUAUGCUGGUCUUCCUUUCACCAUUUAUGUUCAAGAUGAUUGCAGCGCAUAUUACCAAGCCAUCGCUGUUGCAAAGCAGUGCCACUACUUUCUUGGAGAAAUUGACACCUUUAUUUACCUAACAGUUGCUUCCCAUGGAUGUUUUGUGAGAAGACAUAGAUACACGACAAACCUGACUGUUGUCAUCAUGGCACUUGCAGACAAGGGACGGUUUAAAAUUGUCAAUACCGCUCAUCUGUGCGAGGAAAAACUAAAGAGGUGAACAAAAAUGAUGAUCCACUGAUCUCUAGAAUUCUUUCCUGCAACGAAGCCGGGUUCAACAUCACAAUCCCUCAGAAUGCCACGGUCCCCCCUGAGAACCUGGAUGCAGUCUGGAUCCCUUCCAGCAAAAGCCACAACUGAAAACCCAAAAAACAAUCCAAGGAUGCCAUCACUUUCAGCUUUCCAUCUACUGAUUGUGGCACUCAGUCUGUGAUAGCAGAUGGGGGGGUAACUCACUGGGUCAACAUUGAAGUGAAACAAGAUCUGCGGAAGGGCUCUAUUUUUCGUGACACUCCUUUCCAUUGUACUGUGCAGUGUAGCUUUGUGCUCGCAGAAACUACUCAACUGGGCGCCAGGGUUCAGGGUGAAAGAUCUGAGAACAUGUCAACAUUGAAGAAUAAGGGAAUACUGAGGACUGAAAUGAGGUUUGCCAAAGACUCCAAUUGCAAUUCUUUCUAUUCCUCUCAAGAUCCUCCAUUAGUAACUGUGCUUGGCGAGCCUGUGUAUGUGGAGGUCUUUGUUCUCAAACAUGUGAAUGACAAUUUAGUGCUGCUGC